rnacentral:rRNA from 1 species
UACGUAGGGAGCAAGCGUUGUCCGGAAUCAUUGGGCGUAAAGCGCGCGUAGGUGGCCCCGUAAGUCCGCUGUGAAAGUCCAGGGCUCAACCCUGGGAUGCCGGUGGAUACUGUCGGGCUCGAGUCCGGAAGAGGAGUGUGGAAUUCCCGGUGUAGCGGUGAAAUGCGCAGAUAUCGGGAAGAACACCGAUGGCGAAGGCAAUCCCCUGGGCCUGCACUGACGCUCAUGCACGAAAGCGUGGGGAGCAAACUGG